rnacentral:rRNA from 1 species
AUUGAACGCUGGCGGCAUGCCUUACACAUGCAAGUCGAACGGCAGCACGGGUGCUUGCACCUGGUGGCGAGUGGCGAACGGGUGAGUAAUACAUCGGAACAUGUCCUGUAGUGGGGGAUAGCCCGGCGAAAGCCGGAUUAAUACCGCAUACGAUCUACGGAUGAAAGCGGGGGACCUUCGGGCCUCGCGCUAUGGGGUUGGCCGAUGGCUGAUUAGCUAGUUGGUGGGGUAAAGGCCUACCAAGGCGACGACCAGGAGCUAGUCUGAGAGGACGACCAGCCACACUGGGACUGAGACACGGCCCAGGCUCCUACGGGAGGCAGCAGUGGGGAAUUUUGGACAAUGGGCGAAAGCCUGAUCCAGCAAUGCCGCGUGUGUGAAGAAGGCCUUCGGGUUGUAAAGCACUUUUGUCCGGAAAGAAAUCCUUGGCCCUAAUACGGUCGGGGGAUGACGGUACCGGAAGAAUAAGCACCGGCUAACUACGUG